UAGGGUGCAAGCGUUAAUCGGAAUUACUGGGCGUAAAGCGUGCGCAGGCGGUUUUGUAAGUCUGAUGUGAAAUCCCCGGGCUCAACCUGGGAAUUGCAUUGGAGACUGCAAGGCUAGAAUCUGGCAGAGGGGGGUAGAAUUCCACGUGUAGCAGUGAAAUGCGUAGAUAUGUGGAGGAACACCGAUGGCGAAGGCAGCCCCCUGGGUCAAGAUUGACGCUCAUGCACGAAAGCGUGGGGAGCAAACAGGAUUAGAUACCCUGGUAGUCCACGCCCUAAACGAUGUCUACUAGUUGUCGGGUCUUAAUUGACUUGGUAACGCAGCUAACGCGUGAAGUAGACCGCCUGGGGAGUACGGUCGCAAGAUUAAAACUCAAAGGAAUUGACGGGGACCCGCGCAAGCGGUGGAUGAUGUGGAUUAAUUCGAUGCAACGCGAAAAACCUUACCUACCCUUGACAUGGCUGGAAUCCUUGAGAGAUCAGGGAGUGCUCGAAAGAGAACCAGUACACAGGUGCUGCAUGGCUGUCGUCAGCUCGUGUCGUGAGAUGUUGGGUUAAGUCCCGCAACGAGCGCAACCCUUGUCAUUAGUUGCUACGAAAGGGCACUCUAAUGAGACUGCCGGUGACAAACCGGAGGAAGGUGGGGAUGGCGUCAAGUCCUCAUGGCCCUUAUGGGUAGGGCUUCACACGUCAUACAAUGGUACAUACAGAGCGCCGCCAACCCGCGAGGGGGAGCUAAUCGCAGAAAGUGUAUCGUAGUCCGGAUUGUAGUCUGCAACUCGACUGCAUGAAGUUGGAAUCGCUAGUAAUCGCGGAUCAGCAUGUCGCGGUGAAUACGUUCCCGGGUCUUGUACACACCGCCCGUCACACCAUGGGAGCGGGUUUUACCAGAAGUAGGUAGCUUAACCGUAAGGAGGGCGCUUACCACGGUAGGAUUCGUGACGGGGGUGAAGUCGUAACAAGGUAGCCGUAUCGGAAGGUGCGGCUGGAUCACCUCCUUUCUAGAGUUUGCACGAAUCAGUAAUGAUUCACGCAUCAAAUGUUCACACUUAUCGGCUGUUAAUAUAAAGAACAGCAUUUGGGGCUGUAGCUCAGCUGGUUAGAGCACCGUGUUGAUAACGCGGGGGUCGUUGGUUCGAGUCCAACCAGCCCUACCAGUUUCUGUAGUCUGGAAAUACCCUGGGGGGAUUAGCUCAGCUGGGAGAGCACCUGCUUUGCAAGCAGGGGGUCGUCGGUUCGAUCCCGUCAUCCUCCACCAAAAGUUCAAACGUAAAUCAGUGCAGAUGGUGCACCGGGAUUUAGGUUUGGUCUUUUCGAGAUCAAGUGCUGUAUGUUCUUUAACAAUCUGGAAGAAGUAAAGAUUAUUUAUUGAUUGGUUUGCCGUAAAACGCAAAUCGAUGGGUAAUGAUUGUAUGUAUCAACAAACAAGCAACAACGUUGUACUUUCUUAUUCCUGUAACGCUCUUUCAUCAUGUAAAUGAUGAGAGGCUAACGUUAUAGGGACAAGCGAAUAAGUGCACAUGGUGGAUGCCUUGGCGAUUACAGGCGAUGAAGGACGUAGUAGCUUGCGAUAAGCUGCGGGGAGUGAGCAAACACACUUUGAUCCGCAGAUUU
rnacentral:sRNA from 1 species